rnacentral:lncRNA from 1 species
AAUGCAUCAGUUCCUCACCCACUUUGUACAGUUUUGGCUAUGACACAAAGGUCAGCAAACUUUAUUGCUAAGACUUCUCCAUAUGAUCACCUUCUCAAACAACAACUAAAUACUUCACUUUUUUUGUUAGUACUAUUUUUAUAAAUACGUAAUAUAUAAAAAGUUAUCUUAGAUUAAUUAAUUAAAUGUGAAAAGAGAGUAGUUUGUUGUACUUUCCACAUAGUUUUUCUGACCCUUGUACUUGUAUGUGUUUGUAUUCUGAACCUUUCUACUUACCUCUUUGUCAACUGAACCCUUUAACUCAAUAAAAUUCACCAUCUUAAACUCUUUUGACCAUUGACCAAACUUAUGUGGCAACUUAAUUGUUGAGUUGGCAUAAGUACGUGAUUUCACGCAAAAAAGGAGCGUGAAAAUAAAAAUUUAGACUAAUCCCCCAUUCCUUUCGUUCUCCCUUCCUCCACUCCUUUCCAGUUCUUUUUCUCUUUUUCCUUUUUCAUUUUCUCUUUCCCAAAUUAGAAACGAGAUCGUGCAAAAAAUGAGAACAAAAUGAGCAAAGGAAAAUCGAGAAAAUUGGUGCAAUACCCAAAUCCACGGAAGAAAUAUGUCUAAUGAGUAUUUUGAACUCUUUUUGUUGUUAAAAUUGUUAGCAAUUUUAGUGCUCCUUCUUUAAAUCUGUUAUUGUUCUUGAUUUAUCUUUAUUUUCCAUUUUCUAGGGUAAAGUGACAAAGAUCCGGUAGUUUUGAAAGGAUAAAAGUAACUGUUGAAUGUAAAUUAGAUGAAGUCUGUUGGAUAAAAUUGUGUAUAAAUAUUAUAAUAUAUUGAAAUACUUUAAUGGUGAUUCAUUGGCAUCCAUGGAGAAAAGGGUUUUACAUGUGUUGGUCAAGUGAUAUGAAGAUGAAGAUGAGUGAAAUAGAAGAAAAAAAUAAUUUAUUUUAAAAAAUUAAAUAAUAAGUGACGUGUCAUAUAAAAUCUGAUGUGGGUGAUGACAUGUCAUUUUUAUUGUGCGUUUGAAGUUCACACAAGGCCAAAGGGGUUUAAAAUGUCGAGUUUCAUUGAGUUUAAGGGUUUAGUUGGUAAAUGGUUAAGUAAGAGGGUUCAAAAUACAAACUCAUACAAGUACACAAGGGUUCAUCGGACCAUUUCGCCGUCCAAAUUAUAUAAUUUACUUUUUCAAUUUCAUAUUAAUAAUUUGUUUCUAUGAUACUAUUUGGGACACUAAUUAUAACCAAGUAAAAAUAAACAAACAUAUUUUACUACACUUAUUACCCAAUUUACUAAUUUUACUAAUUACUACUUCCUCCGUCCCAUUUUAUAUGAUGUACUUUGAUUUGGCACAAAUUUUAAGAAAAAUGGAAAGACUUUUAAAACUUGUGGUCCAAAAUGAAUGAUAGAAAUUUGUGUGGUUGUAAAUCAUUUCAUUAAGGGUAAAAAGACAUUUUAUAGGCAAAUUGUUACUUAAAAUAAAAAUGUGUCAUUCUUUUUUAGACUGACUAAAAGCACUUUGUACAGUUUUGGCUAUGACACAAAGGUCAGCAAACUUUAUUGCUAAGACUUCUCCAUAUGAUCACCUUCUCAAACAACAACUAAAUACUUCACUUUUUUUGUUAGUACUAUUUUUAUAAAUACGUAAUAUAUAAAAAGUUAUCUUAGAUUAAUUAAUUAAAUGUGAAAAGAGAGUAGUUUGUUGUACUUUCCACAUAGUUUUUCUGACCCUUGUACUUGUAUGUGUUUGUAUUCUGAACCUUUCUACUUACCUCUUUGUCAACUGAACCCUUUAACUCAAUAAAAUUCACCAUCUUAAACUCUUUUGACCAUUGACCAAACUUAUGUGGCAACUUAAUUGUUGAGUUGGCAUAAGUACGUGAUUUCACGCAAAAAAGGAGCGUGAAAAUAAAAAUUUAGACUAAUCCCCCAUUCCUUUCGUUCUCCCUUCCUCCACUCCUUUCCAGUUCUUUUUCUCUUUUUCCUUUUUCAUUUUCUCUUUCCCAAAUUAGAAACGAGAUCGUGCAAAAAAUGAGAACAAAAUGAGCAAAGGAAAAUCGAGAAAAUUGGUGCAAUACCCAAAUCCACGGAAGAAAUAUGUCUAAUGAGUAUUUUGAACUCUUUUUGUUGUUAAAAUUGUUAGCAAUUUUAGUGCUCCUUCUUUAAAUCUGUUAUUGUUCUUGAUUUAUCUUUAUUUUCCAUUUUCUAGGGUAAAGUGACAAAGAUCCGGUAGUUUUGAAAGGAUAAAAGUAACUGUUGAAUGUAAAUUAGAUGAAGUCUGUUGGAUAAAAUUGUGUAUAAAUAUUAUAAUAUAUUGAAAUACUUUAAUGGUGAUUCAUUGGCAUCCAUGGAGAAAAGGGUUUUACAUGUGUUGGUCAAGUGAUAUGAAGAUGAAGAUGAGUGAAAUAGAAGAAAAAAAUAAUUUAUUUUAAAAAAUUAAAUAAUAAGUGACGUGUCAUAUAAAAUCUGAUGUGGGUGAUGACAUGUCAUUUUUAUUGUGCGUUUGAAGUUCACACAAGGCCAAAGGGGUUUAAAAUGCUGAGUUUCAUUGAGUUUAAGGGUUCAGUUGAUAAAUGGUUAAGUAAAAGGGUUCAAAAUACAAACUCAUACAAGUACACAAGCGGACCAUUUCGCCGUCCAAAUUAUAUAAUUUACUUUAUCAAUUUCAUAUUAAUAAUUUGUUUCUAUGAUACUAUUUGGGACAAUAAUUAUAACCAAGUAAAAAUAAACAAACAUAUUUUACUACACUUACUACCAAUUUACUAAUUUUACUAAUUACUAAUAUAUAGACGCUAAGAGUAAGCUGCUCUUGGUCAACAUGCCUGCUUCACUGUUUUCGUCCUUUCAAGUGCAACUACCCGUGUUGUUGAUUCUGGUACUGCUUAAUACAGUGCUUCUCAUAUAGGAACCGCCAUAUCGUCUUUGUCUUCUUCUCAGUGAUUCCUCUGUGUUUGGCUGUGAUACUUUCAUCUGGAGGUUUCUUUCUUUGUUGAAUCUUGCCUGUUGGUUAUUUGAGCUUCGUUUUCUGAUGCAUGAUAAUUGGUGUGUUUUAACUGAAUAUGGGCGUUUUCUGUAGGUCUCAUGGUCGACAUGGCUGUUUCAUCACAGGACAAUUUGGUCAUUCUUGUUUUCCUUUGGUUCAAACUGUGUUCUGGUUUCUGCUUACAGAUAAGGAGUCAUGUACAAUUUUCGCAGUUUCCAUGGAUUUUACUCCUCUGUGCUUCGUCUCCUUGUCGGUAUAUUUUUUUUUCAUCUUUUGGGUUUAUCGUAUGCAUAUUCUCUUAAGUGAUUGCUUUGCUUUUGAGGUAAUAAUUUUAUUUGUUCUUCACUUUUUAUGUUUUAUCUUCUUCGUUGUCCUCGAUUCGUGCUUUUAUUUGAAUUCUCUUCGUCUGUUUGAUAUUGAAUCUUGCUUGAAUUUGGUUAUUCCCCUUUGUGUGCUUUGGUGUGUUGUCGCCAUAGUUGGUUUACUAUGUGAAAAUCACAUUUUGGUAGUUGUUAUUAUUGUUGUUUCGGUCUAGUGCAAAAUUUGUUUUAUCUUCGGAAUGACGAGAGCAAAACUUGCACUUUGCUGGAAAAUACAAAUCUUGGAUUGUUGCACUGGACAUUUAAAGUGGAUUUUCUAGAAAAGAAUAUAUUUGUGAAAUAGUAUCUUCAGGGGUCAUUUUUGUGAUGACUGUGAUUGGAUUUGUGUUAGUACCAUCUUCAUAGUAUUUGUGUGAUUUGGGAUUAUAAUUUGGAAUCAUCCAAAUUCUUCAGUUUGGGUUUAUAUUUCAUACAAAAGAAUCCAUCAUUUUAAAUUUUGUGGAAAAAACCUCAUGUUUAGUCUUAGUCUUCGGACGGAGACUUGUUACCCAAACAUCAAUUUGUCUUGAGAUCACGGAAAUAUCCGCUUUCCUUGUUUCUUCCAUUUUUUCGUCUGUUAAGGUUGUUUGACAUGUGCAGAUAAAAUAUGGCUGAUAUUAUACUAUUACUGUUUGAUUAUAUUCCAUUAAGAAAGGUUCGUAACUUGGCUCGGCUAAUAAGUUUGAAUAUGAAUCAACUGGAUUUUGUUGUGGUAGUGGUAGUAGUACAAUUAAGCUAACUUCCCAUCGAAUGCCACCUGCGCUGACAAAUUUUUAAUGUAGGAGCUUCUGAAAAAUCCCAGCAUAUG